GACGAACGCUGGCGGCGUGCUUAACACAUGCAAGUCGAACGGAAAGGCCCUGCUUUUGUGGGGUGCUCGAGUGGCGAACGGGUGAGUAACACGUGAGUAACCUGCCCUUGACUUUGGGAUAACUUCAGGAAACUGGGGCUAAUACCGGAUAGGAGCUCCUGCUGCAUGGUGGGGGUUGGAAAGUUUCGGCGGUUGGGGAUGGACUCGCGGCUUAUCAGCUUGUUGGUGGGGUAGUGGCUUACCAAGGCUUUGACGGGUAGCCGGCCUGGGAGGGUGACCGGCCACAUUGGGCCUGAGGUACGGCCCAGACUCCUACGGGAGGCAGCAGUGGAGAAUAUUGCACAAUGGGCGGAAGCCUGAUGCAGCAACGUCGCGUGCGGGAUGACGGCCUUCGGGUUGUAAACCGCUUUCGCCUGUGACGAAGCGUGAGUGACGGUAAUGGGUAAAGAAGCACCGGCUAACUACGUG
rnacentral:rRNA from 1 species